rnacentral:rRNA from 1 species
AUUGAACGCUGGCGGCAGGCCUAACACAUGCAAGUCGAGCGGAUGAAGGGAGCUUGCUCCUGGAUUCAGCGGCGGACGGGUGAGUAAUGCCUAGGAAUCUGCCUGGUAGUGGGGGAUAACGUCCGGAAACGGGCGCUAAUACCGCAUACGUCCUGAGGGAGAAAGUGGGGGAUCUUCGGACCUCACGCGAUCAGAUGAGCCUAGGUCGGAUUAGCUAGUUGGUGGGGUAAAGGCCUACCAAGGCGACGAUCCGUAACUGGUCUGAGAGGAUGAUCAGUCACACUGGAACUGGGACACGGUCCAGACUCCUACGGGAGGCAGCAGUGGGGAAUAUUGGACAAUGGGCGAAAGCCUGAUCCAGCCAUGCCGCGUGUGUGAAGAAGGUCUUCGGAUUGUAAAGCACUUUAAGUUGGGAGGAAGGGCAGUAAGUUAAUACCUUGCUGUUUUGACGUUACCAACAGAAUAAGCACCGGCUAACUUCGUG